GGGAGUGAAAUAGAACCUGAAACCCUGCACUUACAAGCUGUGGAAGCACAUUUCUGGUGUGACCGCGUACUUUUUGGAGAACGGGCCAACGAGUUACGUUAAGUAGCAAGGUUAAGCACUUAAGGUGCGGAGCCGUAGCGAAAGCGAGUUUUAACUGAGCGUUCAGUUACUGGACGUAGACCCGAAACCGGGCGACCUACCCAUGAGCAGGAUGAAGCGAAAGUAAAAUUUCGUGGAGGUCCGAACCCACGAGCGUUGAAAAGCUCGGGGAUGACUUGUGGGUAGCGGUGAAAUUCCAAUCGAGCCCGGAGAUAGCUGGUUCUCCCCGAAAUAGCUUUAGGGCUAGCCUCAAGGUGAGAGAUACGGAGGUAGAGCACUGAAUGUCCUAGGGGGUAUUGCACCUACCGAAGACUAUCAAACUCCGAAUGCCGUCAUCUUAUACUUGGGAGUCAGACUGUGGGUGAUAAGAUUCAUAGUCGAAAGGGCAACAGCCCAGAUCGUCAGCUAAGGUCCCUAAAUGUAAGUUAAGUGGUAAAGGAUGUGGGAUUGCACAGACAACCAGGAUGUUGGCUUAGAAGCAGCCACUCAUUCAAAGAGUGCGUAAUAGCUCACUGGUCGAGUGAUCCUGCGCCGAAGAUUUCCGGGGCUAAA
rnacentral:rRNA from 1 species